AGUGAACGCUGGCGGUAGGCCUAACACAUGCAAGUCGAACGGCAGCACAGUAAUAGCUUGCUCUUACGGGUGGCGAGUGGCGGACGGGUGCGGAAUACAUCGGAAUCUACUUUUUCUUGGGGGCUAACGUAGGGAAACUUACGCUAAUACCGCAUACGACCUACGGGUGAAAGCAGCGGAUCUUCGGACCUUGCGCGAUUGUAUGAGCCGAUGUCGGAUUAGCUAGUUGGCGGGGUAAAGGCCCACCAAGGCGACGAUCCGUAGCUGGUCUGAGAGGAUGAUCAGCCAAACUGGAACUGAGACACGGUCCAGACUCCUACGGGAGGCAGCAGUGGGGAAUAUUGGACAAUGGGCGCAAGCCUGAUCCAGCCAUACCGCGUGGGUGAAGAAGGCCUUCGGGUUGUAAAGCCCUUUUGUUGGGAAAGAAAAGCAGCAGGUUAAUACCCCGCUGUUCUGACGGUACCAAAAGAAUAAGCACCGGCUAACUUCGUG
rnacentral:rRNA from 1 species